GUCUCACUUGUUUGUUAUGUGGCAACAUUUUCCUUCACGGGGCUGCUCUUCCACUGGUUUAAGCCCUCAAGACAUGAUUGUGGUCUUAACACCUUUAUCAUUAUGACUUUGACUCUGGUUUUCAUUUUUUCUAUUGUGGCGCUGCAUCCAGCUGUUGGUCUAUUGAAGAGUAAGUUUGGGUUUGAUGAUGCUUUCAACUACAAGGAAGAACCUAACUUGACUGUAGCUUUAAAAAGGAAAGCUCUAUGCAUAGAACCAGAUAAAAAUAAGCAAUGCAAUCUGGCCAUUUGCUUGAUGCAGACAGGAAGAAUUUCAGAAGCAAAAUCUCUCCUUGAAAGGAUCCAACCUUCAUCUUCGGACUAAGACAAGCAUGGCCCAGAUUCAUAUAUGAAAUCCUUUGAACGUGCAUGUGAAAUGCUGGCAGGUCUCGAGUGUCAGUUGAUGAAUGGAGCAAUAGGAACAAAAAUCCAGAGAUCUUCUGCUUCCUCUAUUACGGGAAUCUUGAAUUCCCCAGGUUCUGGUGAGGCAAAGAACUGUGGACUGCAAGUCCAGAAGGAGCUGACGGAAGCAGAAAUGCAUGAUAGGGCUGUGGAUAUAUGCAAAUGGGUGAGGUCCAGUCAUUUAGUUGGGCCCCACAAGGGCUAAAAAUCAAUGGUAGGAUCGAGUCAUCUGAAUGCAGAGUCAGCUGCCUAUUCUAAAAUGGGUCCCAUUUAAUCAAGGGACUGCACAAAGCUCUUGGUGAACUUCCAUUCUUCUGCAGCAGAUAGUAAGCUAAAGGCGGUCCACCGGAAGUACUCUAAUCCUCUACGUGGAGCUGUCGCUUUACUCCCUCCAUCAUCGAAAUUCUUAAAGGAGUCGAAGGACGCUGCCUCCACCUGACUGCUGACUGGUUUUGGGUUGUGUUUCCCCCAAACAUGUACAGCCACUGACCACUAGUUUUGUUUUUUGGAGUGAAGAUUCAUCUCUCUGAUAAUCUCUCUCUAUUAGUGACUCUUCCUCAGGAGUGGUGUGUUUAUGACAUGUUUAAGAAUGUGCUGAAACAGCUUCAAAUUUCAGUUGGGAAUGAAUGGUCUGUUUAAGUGUGUUC